rnacentral:rRNA from 1 species
UACGUAGGUGGCGAGCGUUGUCCGGAUUUACUGGGCGUAAAGGGAGCGUAGGCGGACUUUUAAGUGAGAUGUGAAAUACCCGGGCUCAACUUGGGUGCUGCAUUUCAAACUGGAAGUCUAGAGUGCAGGAGAGGAGAAUGGAAUUCCUAGUGUAGCGGUGAAAUGCGUAGAGAUUAGGAAGAACACUAGUGGCGAAGGCGAUUCUCUGGACUGUAACUGACGCUGAGGCUCGAAAGCGUGGGGAGCAAACAGG